rnacentral:rRNA from 1 species
CGCUGGCGGCACGCCUAAUACAUGCAAGUCGAACGAAGUAGCAAUACUUAGUGGCAGACGGGUGAGUAACAUGUGGGUAUCUUCCCUUUGGUGAGGAAUAACACGAGGAAACUUGUGCUAAUACCUCAUAAGUCUUUACAGAGAAAGCUUUAUGCGCCAUUGGAUGAGCCUGCACUUGAUUAGUUUGUUGGUGGGGUAAUGGCCUACCAAGACAAUGAUCAAUAGCUGAUUUGAGAGGAUGAUCAGCCACAUUGGGACUGAGACACGGCCCAAACUCCUACGGGAGGCAGCAGUAGGGAAUCUUGCACAAUGGAGGAAACUCUGAUGCAGCGAUGCCGCGUGAGUGAAGAAGGCCUUUGGGUUGUAAAGCUCUUUCGUCGGGGAAGAAAAUGACUGUACCCGAAUAAGAAGGUCCGGCUAACUUCGUGCCAGCAGCCGCGGUAAUACGAAGGGACCUAGCGUAGUUCGGAAUUACUGGGCUUAAAGAGUUCGUAGGUGGUUAAAAAAGUUGAUGGUGAAAUCCCAGAGCUUAACUCUGGAACUGCCAUCAAAACUUUUUAGCUAGAGUAUGAUAGAGGAAAGCAGAAUUUCUAGUGUAGAGGUGAAAUUCGUAGAUAUUAGAAAGAAUACCAAUUGCGAAGGCAGCUUUCUGGAUCAUUACUGACACUGAGGAACGAAAGCAUGGGUAGCGAAGAGGAUUAGAUACCCUCGUAGUCCAUGCCGUAAACGAUGUGUGUUAGACGUUGGGAAUUUAUUUUCAGUGUCGCAGUGAAAACAAUAAACACACCGCCUGGGGAGUACGACCGUAAACUAAUGAUACG